UUCACGACGUCUUCUCUUUUCUGCAGGCUGAUGGUCUUGUACUGUUACACUGUUACCAUCACCUGCAGUAUUUUACAGAAUCAGUUUAACUUCAUCCAGCAAAGUGGUAAAUGUUUCAUCGGUUCUCAACAAAACAACGGAUGCUUGCGAAAACGAUAUCAGCAUCAAGGCCUGCAUCAGAUUGAUACUUACUGAUUGUAGUUGAAUGUUGACAGGUGCUAGUAUACUCAAUGCUUUGUGGACAGCUACAGCAUGGAACAGAAGGGUUUCUUUUUGAUCAGCUUCAACAGUCCGAUUGCUUCCAUCACUAAUUCAGAGGGUGACAUAAUCUUGCUGAAGGCACAACAGAGUCUGUAGGUGUCGAAGACUUCAACCCUCCUCCCUGCUUGUGGAGAAUUCAGAUGCUGGGAAUUGGACUAACUGUGAGCAAUUGCUAAUCUGCUGCUACCUUCAUGGAAGUACUAAGAAAGACUAUUUGAUCCUGGGUCUUCUUGAUGGCAAAAAAAAGAGGUGUAUUAAUGUAGAAGACAUCAGCUGAGCCAAAUGAUAAAGGCUAAUUAGUAAUUAGACUUAGAGUAUCAUGGCAGCAAUACAUGCAUAGUGUUUUCAGUUGUCUUGUUCUCACCAAAGUGAACCUAUAUUUACAUACGAUUUGAAGAAUAUGUAGCAAAAAUGUUAAUAAUUUAUUCUUCUGUAUUAUUCAGCAAACAAGAUGUUUAAUACAGAAUAAAAUGAAGCUCAACUAUCAUUUGAUUCACCACUUGUCACAGAAUUUUACCAGUUUUAGGAAUUCCAUCUCUCAUCAGUAACACUGAAUAAUGUAUGGCUCAUCAGUAAAUGAAACCUAGUCUUGUUCUUUCAAUUUACCAUUGUUCAUAGUUACUAAUAAGGACUGGAAUUCUCUAUUAGAACUCAGUGACAAGUGGUGAAUACAAUAAUAUAUUUGGCCUCAUAU